rnacentral:misc_RNA from 1 species
UGGCUGGAGGACCGGCCGUCAGGGGAUGAGGACGUCGAAACUUUAGCGACGGAAGUGGAGACCUAUAUGAAAGACGUGAUUCGAUUAUCGAAUCGGUUGAACGGGAAGCCCGAAAAGGAAGCUCAGGAUUUGCGAAGGAAUCUGUUUCCGACUCCGUUUUCGUUUUUCGUAGGGAGUACUUUCGAGGGCGCGCCAAGGGAGCAGCAGGCGUUGUUGGAAUUGGAGGAUACGGCGGCGAGGUUGAAGAGAGAGAAGGAGACUUUGAGAAA